UAUGUACUCCCUCCGUUCGGAAUUACUUGUCACAAAAAUGGAUGUAUCUACAACUAAAAUACAUCUAGAUACAUUCAUUUAUUGGACGAGUAAUUCCGAACGGAAGGAGUAGCUC
rnacentral:pre_miRNA from 1 species